rnacentral:rRNA from 1 species
GCCCAAGAUUGAAAGCUGGCGCCUUCGGCGUCCGCAUUGUAAUCUCAAGAAGUGUUUUCCGCUUCGGACCAUGCCUAAGUCCCUUGGAAAAGGGCAUCAUAGAGGGUGAUAAUCCCGUACAUGGCAUGGAGCGCCCGAAGCUUUGUGAUACGCUUUCUAAGAGUCGAGUUGUUUGGGAAUGCAGCUCAAAAUGGGUGGUAAAUGCCAUCUAAGGCUAAAUAUUGGGGAGAGACCGAUAGCGAACAAGUACAGUGAUGGAAAGAUGAAAAGAACUUUGAAAAGAGAGUUAAACAGUACGUGAAAUUGCCAAAAGGGAAGGGUAGGAGGUCAGAGAUGCGGCCUGGGAUUCAGCCUUGCUUUUGCUCGGUGUUUUUCCCAGAUUGCAGGGCAACGUCCGUUUUGGGCACUGGAGAAGGGGAGGAGGAACGUGGCACCUCUCGGGGGGUGGUAUAGGCUCCUACUUGAUACAGCGACCAAGACCGAGGACAACAGCGUACUCUUCAGAACUGGGCUUCUC